GGGCCGGAAGCUCAUCAGGAUGAGUUCUCGACUUUUAAUCGAGGGGUAGUGGGUUCGACUCCCACGCGGCCCACCA
rnacentral:tRNA from 1 species